GCCGCCGUCAUCGGGGAGUAGCCGCCCGCGCCUAUCAGCGGGGCCCGCGUCAACACACUUCCUCUCCCGGAGAGGAUGGCGCGAGAAGGAGUCGGGUCCAUCGGACCGGGCGCCACGGCAAGACCGCUGGCAUUCACAGGGGAUUUCC
rnacentral:ncRNA from 2 species